rnacentral:rRNA from 1 species
CCCAGCAAAUCUAUCAUUUAAAAAUAAAGGCACGCCCAAUCCCAUCUGAUCUUGGAAGCUAAGCAGAGUUGGGCCUGGUUAAUACUUGGAUGGAAGACCGCCUAGGAAGACCAGGUGCUAUAGGCG